AUUGAACGCUGGCGGCAUGCCUUACACAUGCAAGUCGAACGGCAGCACGGGUGCUUGCACCUGGUGGCGAGUGGCGAACGGGUGAGUAAUACAUCGGAACAUGUCCUGUAGUGGGGGAAAGCCCGGCGAAAGCCGGAUUAAUACCGCAUACGAUCCACGGGUGAAAGCGGGGGAGCUGCGGGCCUCGCGCGAUAGGGUUGGCCGAUGGCUGAUUAGCUAGUGGGUGGGGUAAAGGCCUACCACGGCGACGAUCAGGAGCUGGGCUGAGAGGACGACCAGCCACACGGGAACUGAGACACGGCCCAGACUCCUACGGGAGGCAGCAGUGGGGAAUUUUGGACAAUGGGCGAAAGCCUGAUCCAGCAAUGCCGCGUGUGUGAAGAAGGCCUUCGGGUUGUAAAGCACUUUUGUCCGGAAAGAAAUCCUUGACUCUAAUACAGUCGGGGGAUGACGGUACCGGAAGAAUAAGCACCGGCUAACUACGUG
rnacentral:rRNA from 1 species